GGACGAACGCUGGCGGCGUGCUUAACACAUGCAAGUCGAACGGAAAGGCCCUGCUUUUGUGGGGUGCUCGAGUGGCGAACGGGUGAGUAACACGUGAGUAACCUGCCCUUGACUUUGGGAUAACUUCAGGAAACUGGGGCUAAUACCGGAUAGGAGCUCCUGCUGCAUGGUGGGGGUUGGAAAGUUUCGGCGGUUGGGGAUGGACUCGCGGCUUAUCAGCUUGUUGGUGGGGUAGUGGCUUACCAAGGCUUUGACGGGUAGCCGGCCUGAGAGGGUGACCGGCCACAUUGGGACUGAGAUACGGCCCAGACUCCUACGGGAGGCAGCAGUGGGGAAUAUUGCACAAUGGGCGGAAGCCUGAUGCAGCAACGCCGCGUGCGGGAUGACGGCCUUCGGGUUGUAAACCGCUUUCGCCUGUGACGAAGCGUGAGUGACGGUAAUGGGUAAAGAAGCACCGGCUAACUACGUGCCAGCAGCCGCGGUGAUACGUAGGGUGCGAGCGUUGUCCGGAUUUAUUGGGCGUAAAGGGCUCGUAGGUGGUUGAUCGCGUCGGAAGUGUAAUCUUGGGGCUUAACCCUGAGCGUGCUUUCGAUACGGGUUGACUUGAGGAAGGUAGGGGAGAAUGGAAUUCCUGGUGGAGCGGUGGAAUGCGCAGAUAUCAGGAGGAACACCAGUGGCGAAGGCGGUUCUCUGGGCCUUUCCUGACGCUGAGGAGCGAAAGCGUGGGGAGCGAACAGGCUUAGAUACCCUGGUAGUCCACGCUGUAAACGGUGGGUACUAGGUGUGGGGUCCAUUCCACGGGUCCGUGCCGUAGCUAACGCUUUAAGUACCCCGCCUGGGGAGUACGGCCGCAAGGCUAAAACUCAAAGGAAUUGACGGGGCCCCGCACAAGCGGCGGAGCAUGCGGAUUAAUUCGAUGCAACGCGUAGAACCUUACCUGGGUUUGACAUGGAUCGGGAGUGCUCAGAGAUGGGUGUGCCUCUUUUGGGGUCGGUUCACAGGUGGUGCAUGGCUGUCGUCAGCUCGUGUCGUGAGAUGUUGGGUUAAGUCCCGCAACGAGCGCAACCCUUGUUCACUGUUGCCAGCACGUUAUGGUGGGGACUCAGUGGAGACCGCCGGGGUCAACUCGGAGGAAGGUGGGGAUGACGUCAAGUCAUCAUGCCCCUUAUGUCCAGGGCUUCACGCAUGCUACAAUGGCUGGUACAGAGAGUGGCGAGCCUGUGAGGGUGAGCGAAUCUCGGAAAGCCGGUCUCAGUUCGGAUUGGGGUCUGCAACUCGACCUCAUGAAGUCGGAGUCGCUAGUAAUCGCAGAUCAGCAACGCUGCGGUGAAUACGUUCCCGGGGCUUGUACACACCGCCCGUCAAGUCAUGAAAGUUGGUAACACCCGAAGCCGGUGGCCUAACCGUUGUGGGGGAGCCGUCGAAGGUGGGACUGGUGAUUAGGACUA
rnacentral:rRNA from 1 species